CAAGUCGAGCGAGAAGACGUAGCAAUACGUUUGUAAAGCGGCGAACGGGUGAGGAAUACAUGGGUAACCUACCCUAGAGUGGGGAAUAACUAGCCGAAAGGUUAGCUAAUACCGCGUACGCUCCUUGGACUUCGGUUCAGGGAGGAAAGCGCUACCGUGGGUAGCGCGCUCUUGGUUGGGCUCAUGUCCUAUCAGCUUGUUGGUGAGGUAACGGCUCACCAAGGCUUCGACGGGUAGCUGGUCUGAGAGGACGAUCAGCCACACUGGCACUGCGACACGGGCCAGACUCCUACGGGAGGCAGCAGUAAGGAAUAUUGCGCAAUGGGCGAAAGCCUGACGCAGCGACGCCGCGUGGGGGAUGAAGGUCUUCGGAUUGUAAACCCCUUUCGGGAGGGAAGAUGGAAUGGGGUAACCCAUUCGGACGGUACCUCCAGAAGCAGCCACGGCUAACUUCGUGCCAGCAGCCGCGGUAAUACGAAGGUGGCAAGCGUUAUUCGGAUUUACUGGGCGUACAGGGAGCGUAGGCGGUUCGGUAAGCCCUCUGUGAAAUCUUCAGGCUUAACCUGGAAAAGUCGGAGGGGACUGCUGGGCUAGAGGACGGGAGAGGAGCGCGGAAUUCCCGGUGUAGCGGUGAAAUGCGUAGAGAUCGGGAGGAAGGCCGGUGGCGAAGGCGGCGCUCUGGAACGUUUCUGACGCUGAG
rnacentral:rRNA from 1 species